GUGUCAGCCGCCGCGGUAACACGGAGGGAGCAAACGUUGUUCGGAAUCACUGGGCGUAAAGGGCGCGUAGGCGGCUUCUUGAGUCGAGGGUGAAAACCUAUGGCUUAACCAUAGGCCUGCCCCCGAAACUGGGGAGCUUGAGGCCGUAAGAGGAAAGCGGAAUUCCUGGUGUAUCGGUGAAAUGAGUUGAUAUCAGGAGGAACACCGGUGGCGAAGGCGGCUUUCUGGUGCGGUUCUGACGCUGAGGUGCGAAAGCAUGGGGAGCAAACGGGAUUAGAUACCCUUGUAGUCC
rnacentral:rRNA from 1 species